UGGUAAUGCCGGAUGCUCCAGUUGAUCGCAUGGUCUUCUGGGAAAGCUUUCGCGGUAUGGGAUGGGGUCGCGUCCUAUCAGCUUGACGGCGGGGUAACGGCCCACCGUGGCUUCGACGGGUAGCCGGCCUGAGAGGGCGACCGGCCACAUUGGGACUGAGAUACGGCCCAGACUCCUACGGGAGGCAGCAGUGGGGAAUAUUGCACAAUGGGCGCAAGCCUGAUGCAGCGACGCCGCGUGAGGGAUGGAGGCCUUCGGGUUGUAAACCUCUUUUAUCGGGGAGCAAGCGAGAGUGAGUUUACCCGUUGAAUAAGCACCGGCUAACUACGUGCCAGCAGCCGCGGUAAUACGUAGGGUGCAAGCGUUAUCCGGAAUUAUUGGGCGUAAAGGGCUCGUAGGCGGUUCGUCGCGUCCGGUGUGAAAGUCCAUCGCUUAACGGUGGAUCCGCGCCGGGUACGGGCGGGCUUGAGUGCGGUAGGGGAGACUGGAAUUCCCGGUGUAACGGUGGAAUGUGUAGAUA
rnacentral:rRNA from 3 species